rnacentral:lncRNA from 1 species
GGUCUACAAAGUGAGUUCCAGGGCUACAGGGCUACACAGAGAAACCCUGUCUCGAAAAACCAAAAAAAAAAAAAAAAAAAAAAAAAAAAAAAAAAAAAAAAAAAAAAGGCAUUUGCGUGCUUGCUGAGAGUUUCAGAUGCUAAGGGGAUUAGCAUCAUGGUUGGGAGCAUGGUGGCACAUAGACGGGGGUUGUUUCUGUGAAGAACAUAGAAAUUUGUAGAUACAAUGCAUUUUGUGAUGCUCUCUGUGUGCACCAGAUCUUACCCAUACAGUCUGCACACUGUGUGGAAUUGCUAUUAUAACCAUCAUCGAUAACACACAUUUCACAGAGAACAUUUUUUUUACAAGACAUUCCAGAAGGGCCACAAACAACCAGAGAGCAGGCUAAUGACAGUGUGUAAAUCUACUGGCACCUGGAAAACAAGAAUUCAUUCCCGGCUUAUGAGAAACCUGUACUUUAGCCAGUUCAAACACCCGAGAUGGUAGAGUUAAACUAUGACCUGGGGCCUGAGGCCCACAGGCUGCAGCCUUCUUAGAACAGUCAGAUCUCUCCAGGGGUCAUGACCCCAUGAGGGAAUUCAUUAGGAACUUUUUGCAGUGAACUGCUGUGAGAAGAAAAAAAAAUCUCGAUAAUACAGCAGCAGAUUUGUAAAAGCAUGGCUAAAAGAAAGAAACAUCAAGGUUUCUGCAGUUCCAGCUACUGAGAGUGCUGAGGCAAGAAGACCUCUUGAGCCCACAGGUUGCAGACCAGCCCUAGCUACAGCAGACCUCAGUGAAUAAAGGAAAUCAAAAUGAAUCAGGCUGGUCUGUGUACAAAUAUUUUAAUAAAUCACAGCACAGGGUUACUACCUACCUCAAUGGUUUAUAUUCCCGGAUGAAAGACACACACACAGCCUUUAUAUUUUAAUAUGCCUUAUCAGCACAAUAGCUGGGCCACUGCCUAACCUCAGUGCUGUUAGAAUCUACCACCCACCAACUCCAAGUUGCUACUUACUAAUCUCUAUGUUCCAUCUUGGCUGGCUGCUCUUAACUCCAAUUAGUCAGCCCUCUGGGCCACAUUUUCUUGGCCCAGAGUCCCAGAGCGCUUUCUUUGUUUCUCUACCCCAUGGCAGCUCUUGUCUCAUCCGUCCUGCACUCUCUUAAGGUAUGUUGACUCCGUUUCCUCAAGCUUCCUGAGGUCUCCAGUCCGGGAACCCUAUAUCCUCCCUCUCCAUCUCUCUCCUCCCCAGCUAUUGGCUGAUGGCAUCUUUAUUUACUAAUCAGAAUUAACGGGGGCUGGGGGGGGGGCAGGUUCCCAGAAGGUAUGUGCAGACCCUCUCGUGCAAACUAAUUUGGGGAACCCAAAUUAGCGUUAGAGUACAAGCAGCUACACUGGUCUGUAGCUCAGUAAGAGUUUUUGUCUAGGAAAUGUGAGACCCUAGGUUCUUCUUUCCUUCCCACUGGGGGGAAAUGUACAACGUUCCAGAGUUCCAUCCUUAGAGGCAAAGUAAAUUAUUUAAAAAUAGAAGAAUGACUGCCAAGGAGACUGGGGAUAGACUAGUAGUCCACACACAUUUGCUCUGUACUGCACAGCUGAGAUAGACUAUAUAGAUCUGGGAGAGCAACUUUCUAAGAAUGUAUCAUGUCUACUUCAAAAUCUAAGUUAUUUUAAGCGGUGUGUUCUAGGGCCGGGGCGAGACUCAGUUGUAGAGCUCUUGCCUGGCAGCACAGGCAGAUGGAUGGAUGGAUGGAUCAUUUAAGACAUGCACUUGACGUACAAACAUUUUGUAAAAGGUAGUCUUCAAGUUAGAUUAAAGAAUUCAUUUUAGCUAGGCAUGGUAGCACACACCUUUAAUACCAGCAUGCAGGAGGCAGGAGGCAGAGGCGGGGGCGGGGGCGGGGGCGGGGGCAGGGGCAGCUAGAUUUCUCUGAGUUUGAGGUCAGGCUUUUACAUAGUGAGUUCCAGGAUACCUAGGUUACAUAGUGAGACCAUGACUCAAAACAAACAAACAAACCAACCAACAAAAAACAAAACCAAAAAAACAAAACAAAACCAACCAAAACCAAAACAAACCAAACUAAACAAACAAACAAACAAAAAUUAGAAAUAAAUAAAUAAGGAAAAAAAUACCCUAAACUAAACAACCCAAAACCCCCACAGUUCCUAAGGGGCUAGUUAAGAUGACUCAGUGAGGAAAACAUGCUAGUCACCAUGCCUAAAAACCUGGUUUCAGUACCCAGGACUGACAGUAGAAAGGGGGAGUCAACUUCUGAAAGUUGUUCUCUAACCACCCAUAAAACUGUGGUGUGUACAAACACACAUGCACAUACAUACCCUAAAUAUUUUUUUAAAACACACACACAACCAAAAAUGUUUCUUAGAAAAUUAUCAACGAUGUUUUGAUUUUAGGCACAGAUUCAGACAAAAGGAAACAGACUAAAUAAUAAAAAUGUUUAAAAAUAAUUAUUCUGUUUAUACUUAGCUAAGAAUUAGUCAAUACUAAUAGCACUCACUGAUCUUCAGAGGACCCAUAUCCAGUUCCCAUACCAUGUCAGAAACUCACAAAUAAAGGUAACUCCAGCUCCAGAGGACACAGUGCCCUCUUAAGGGCUCUUUGGGAACUGCAUGCAUAUGUGCAUAUACUCAGACACGCAUAGUUUUAAAUAAAGUCCCAAUAAUAAGCCAGGCGUGGUAGUACACACCUGCAAUACCAGCACCCAGUACAUCUCCAGAGUCCACCUCACACAGAAGCCAGACAAGAGGCUGGAGAUGGCAGCAGCUACACUGUUAGAGCUAUGAACUGGGGAUGACCCAAAUGUCUAGCACUAGGAAAAUGGAUGAGGACAUUGUGGGUUAUCAUGUACACCUGUGAAGAAUAAACAAGAAGUGUGCAUAUCUGAGAGGCUGUGUCUCAGUUACUUUUCUAUUGCUGUGAGGAGAUAUCAUGGCCAAGGGAGUUUAUGAGAAAAGCAUUUAAUAUGGCUCAUGGUUUCAAAGAGAGUCUGCCACUGCCACGGUAGGGUAGGGAGUGUGGCAGCAGACAGACAGGCAUGGUGGUAUUGGAGCAGUAGUUGAGAGGUCACAAGUUGAAGCGAUGUGGCAGAGCCAACUGGAAUGGUAUGGGCUUUUGAAGCCUCAAAACCUUCACUUAGUGACAUACCUCCUCCAAUAAGGCCAUACCCUCUUCAGUAGGCCACACCUUCUUAUCCUUCCCAAACAGUUCCACCAACUGGGGACCAAGUAUUCAAAUAUAUGAACUUAUGGGGGCCACUACCACACAACACAAGCCCAGAAAACAAAGCAGUUACAG